rnacentral:rRNA from 1 species
GAUGAACGCUAGCUACAGGCUUAACACAUGCAAGUCGAGGGACCGGCGCACGGGUGAGUAACACGUAUCCAACCUGCCCUUUACUCGGGGAUAACCUUUCGAAAGAAAGAUUAAUACCCGAUGUAAAGGUUGGGGAUGCGUUCCAUUAGGUUGUUGGUGAGGUAACGGCUCACCACGCCUUCGAUGGAUAGGGGUUCUGGGGGGAAGGUCCCCCACAUUGGAACUGAGACCCUGUCAAAACUCCUACGGGAGGCAGCAGUGAGGAAUAUUGGUCAAUGGGCGGUAGCCUGAACCAGCCAAGUAGCGUGAAGGAUGAAGGCUUAUGGGUCGUAAACUUCUUUUAUAUAAGAAUAUGUAUUAUAUGAAUAAGGAUUGGCUAACUCCGUGCCAGCCGCCGCGGUAAUUC